GACGAACGCUGGCGGCGUGCUUAACACAUGCAAGUCGAACGAAGAGCGAUGGAAGCUUGCUUCUAUCAAUCUUAGUGGCGAACGGGUGAGUAACGCGUAAUCAACCUGCCCUUCAGAGGGGGACAACAGUUGGAAACGACUGCUAAUACCGCAUACGAUCCAAUCUCGGCAUCGAGACUGGAUGAAAGGUGGCCUCUAUUUAUAAGCUAUCACUGAAGGAGGGGAUUGCGUCUGAUUAGCUAGUUGGAGGGGUAACGGCCCACCAAGGCGAUGAUCAGUAGCCGGUCUGAGAGGAUGAACGGCCACAUUGGGACUGAGACACGGCCCAGACUCCUACGGGAGGCAGCAGUGGGGAAUCUUCCGCAAUGGACGAAAGUCUGACGGAGCAACGCCGCGUGAGUGAUGACGGCCUUCGGGUUGUAAAGCUCUGUUAAUCGGGACGAAGGUUCUUGUGCGAAUAGUGCGAGG
rnacentral:rRNA from 1 species